rnacentral:rRNA from 1 species
UACGGAGGGUGCAAGCGUUAUCCGGAUUUACUGGGCUUAAAGGGUGCGUAGGCGGGCCUGUAAGUCAGUGGUGAAAUCUUCCCGCUUAACGGGAAAACUGCCAUUGAUACUAUAGGUCUUGAAUUCAGUAGAGGUGGGCGGAAUGUGUCGUGUAGUGGUGAAAUGCUUAGAUAUGACGCAGAACACCGAUGGCGAAGGCAGCUCGCUAAACUGACAUUGACGCUGAGGCACGAAAGCGUGGGGAGCAAACAGG